rnacentral:rRNA from 1 species
CAAUAGCGUAUAUUUAAGUUGUUGCAGUUAAAAAGCUCGUAGUUGGAUUUCGGAUGGGACUUGCCGGUCCGUCGUUUCGAUGUGCACUGGCCAGUCCUAUCUUGUUGUCGGGGACUAGCUCCUGGGCUUCACUGUCCGGGACUAGGAGCUGACGAGGUUACUUUGAGUAAAUUAGAGUGUUCAAAGCAAGCCUACGCUCUGAAUACAUUAGCAUGGAAUAACACGAUAGGACUCUGGUUUAUCUUGUUGGUCUGUGAGACCAGAGUAAUGAUUAAGAGGGACAGUCGGGGGCAUUCGUAUUUCAUUGUCAGAGGUGAAAUUCUUGGAUUUAUGAAAGACGAACUUCUGCGAAAGCAUUUGUCAAGGAUGUUUUCAUUAA